rnacentral:rRNA from 1 species
AUACGUAGGGGGCGAGCGUUGUCCGGAAUGAUUGGGCGUAAAGGGCGCGUAGGCGGCCCGGUAAGUCUGGAGUGAAAGUCCUGUUUUUAAGAUGGGAAUUGCUUUGGAUACUGUCGGGCUUGAGUGCAGGAGAGGUCAGUGGAAUUCCCAGUGUAGCGGUGAAAUGCGUAGAGAUUGGGAGGAACACCAGUGGCGAAGGCGACUUACUUGACUGUAACGGACACUGAGGCGCGAAAGUGUGGGGAGCAAACAGGAUGAGAUACCCUGGUAGUCCACGUUGUGAACGAUGAAUGCUAGGUGUAGUGGGUAUCGACCCCUUCUGUGCCGCAGUCAACACAAUAAGCAUUCCGCCUGGGGAGUACGGCCGCAAGGUUGAAACUCAAAUGAAUUGACGGGG